rnacentral:rRNA from 1 species
GAUGAACGCUGGCGGCGUGCCUAAUACAUGCAAGUCGAGCGAACGGACGAGAAGCUUGCUCCUCUGACGUUAGCGGCGGACGGGUGAGUAACACGUGGAUAACCUACCUAUAAGACUGGGAUAACUUCGGGAAACCGUAGCUAAUACCGGAUAAUAUUUUGAACCGCAUGGUUCAAAAGUGAAAGACGGUCUUGCUGUCGCUUAUAGAUGGAUCCGCGCUGCAUUAGCUAGUUGGUAAGGUAACGGCUUACCAAGGCAACGAUGCAUAGCCGACCUGAGAGGGUCAUCGGCCACACGGGAACUGAGACACGGUCCCGACCCCUACGGGAGGCAGCAGUAGGGAAUCUUCCGCAAUGGGCGAGUGCCUGACGUAGCAACGCCGCGUCAGUGAUGAAGGUCUUCUGAUCGUAAAGCUCUGUUAUUAGUGAAGAUCAUAUGUGUAAGUAACUGGGCACAUCUUGACGGUACCUAAUCAGAAAGCCCCGGCUAACUACGUG